CACGCAGUAAACGAUGCAGACUAGGCGUGGGUGGACUUGACCCCAUCCGUGCCGGAGCCAACGCGGUAAGUCUGCCGCCUGGGGAGUACGGCCGCAAGGCUAAAACUCAAAGGAAUUGAC
rnacentral:rRNA from 1 species